UGGUAAGACAGUGCCUGACCUCAAGAAGC
rnacentral:piRNA from 1 species